GUACACGCUGUGACCAGCAUAUCAAUAAGCGGAGGAAAAGAAACUAACAAGGAUUCCCCUAGUAACGGCGAGUGAAGCGGGAAGAGCUCAAAUUUGAAAUCUUAAAGGGUUUCCCUUUACGAAUUGCAGUUUAAAGAAGUGUUUUCUGCUGAGGUUUUGGUAAAAGUUCUUUGGAAUAGGUACAUCAUAGAGGGUGAGAAUCCCGUAUUUGACCUUUACUUUCAACUUUGUGAUACACUUUCAAAGAGUCGGAUUGUUUGAGAAUGCAGUCCAAAAUGGGUGGUAAAUUUCAUCUAAAGCUAAAUAUUGGCGAGAGACCGAUAGCGAACAAGUACCGUGAGGGAAAGAUGAAAAGAACUUUGAAAAGAGAGUUAAACAGUACGUGAAAUUGUCAAAAGGGAAGCGUUUGACACCAGUGUUGUUUUUCUGAAAAUCAAUUAAAGAACUGUUUAUGCUAAGCUGUUUAGACUUUAUCAGCUAUCUGUUUAGUUUUGAGCUUUUCUUUAAUGCACUUUUCAGUUAACAAGUCAACAUCAAUUUCUUUUGCCUGUAAAAAAGCUUGAGGAAGGUGGCUUGAGAUUCGUCUUAAGUGUUUAUAGCCUCUUGCCUAUGCAGUCGGAGAGAUUGAGGUCUGCAGCGUAGAUCCUUCGGGGCUACAUGCAUUUGUGCUAAGUUAUAGCAUUUUAUAGACAACUUGUUGACUAUGAUUUGUCUUGUAGCUUACUCGCUUAUGUUAUUUUACCUACGCUUAGGAUGUUGAAGUCAUCGUAUCGCGC
rnacentral:rRNA from 1 species